AGAGUUUGUUCUUGGCUCAGAACGAACGCUGGCGGCGCGUUUUAAGCAUGCAAGUCGAGCGGCAGGGGGGCUUCGGUCCCCCGAGAGCGGCGGACGGGUGAGUAACACGUGGACAACCUGCCCCCCGGUUCGGGAUAGCCCAGGGAAACCUGGAUCCCUACCGGAUGCGAGGGCGGCCGCACAAGCGGCCGUCGGGAAAGGCGCUUCGGCGCCGCCGGGGGAUGGGUCCGCGUCCCAUUAGCUAGACGGUGGGGUAACGGCUGUCCUUGGUGAUGAUGGGUAGCCGGCCUGAGAGGGUGGACGGCCACAUUGGAACUGAGACACGGUCCAGACUCCUACGGGAGGCAGCAGCUAAGAAUCUUCCGCAAUGGGCGAAAGCCUGACGGAGCGACGCCGCGUGAACGAAGAAGGCCGUGAGGUUGUAAAGUUCUUUUCGGGAGGGGGAACGAGGCUGCCAGGCAAUGGGCGGCCGAUGACGUGAAUCCCGGAAUAAGCCCCGGCUAAUUACGUGCCAGCAGCCGCGGUAACACGUAAGGGGCGAGCGUUGUUCGGAAUUAUUGGGCGUAAAGGGCGCGUAGGCGGUUUUGCCAGCCUGAUGUGAAAGCCUGGGGCUUAACCCUGGAAUUGCAUUGGGAACUGCAAGACUUGAAUCAUGGAAGGGAAAUCAGAAUUCCAGGUGUAGGGGUGAAAUCUGUAGAUAUCUGGAAGAAUACCGGUGGCGAAGGCGGAUUUCUGGCCAAUGAUUGACGCUGAGGCGCGAAAGUGCGGGGAGCAAACGGGAUUAGAUACCCUGGUAGUCCGCACUAUAAACGAUGAUAACUCGCUGUCGGCGAUACACAGUCGGUGGCCAAGCGAAAGCAUUAAGUUAUCCACCUGGGGAGUACGACCGCAAGGUUGAAACUCAAAGG
rnacentral:rRNA from 1 species